AAUUCAACUAUAAAAAC
rnacentral:tRNA from 2 species